AACUCUGCGAAGAAGACGUGUGUUAUUAUUAUUUAAAUUUUGUGUUCAAAUUGAAAAUAUAGUAAACUAUCUACCACUUAAUUCUGCACUACCGAUUUAAACGGAGCGAGACGAGUGCCCAUCUUUAGAGAUAAGCUUGAGUUUAUACUGUCGUCCAAUUUUCAAGGCAACGAACUGACAAAUUCGAAAAACGACUAAAGCUCUAAGGCUCUAUUACCUUUGUUAAAUCACGCGUAAAUAAAACUACCUACUGAAUGAAACAUAUUUUGAGCAUGUUCGCACGAAAGUAAAUACCUUUGAUAUCGUGUAAAACAAAAAGACACACACACACAUACACACUAACA